UCGGGAAUUUUGGGCAAUGGGCGAAAGCCUGAUCCAGCCAUGCCGCGUGUGUGAAGAAGGUCUUCGGAUUGUAAAGCACUUUAAGUUGGGAGGAAGGGCAGUUACCUAAUACGUGAUUGUUUUGACGUUACCGACAGAAUAAGCACCGGCUAACUCUGUGCCAGCAGCCGCGGUAAUACAGAGGGUGCAAGCGUUAAUCGGAAUUACUGGGCGUAAAGCGCGCGUAGGUGGUUAGUUAAGUUGGAUGUGAAAUCCCCGGGCUCAACCUGGGAACUGCAUUCAAAACUGACUGACUAGAGUAUGGUAGAGGGUGGUGGAAUUUCCUGUGUAGCGGUGAAAUGCGUAGAUAUAGGAAGGAACACCAGUGGCGAAGGCGACCACCUGGACUGAUACUGACACUGAGGUGCGAAAGCGUGGGGAGCAAACAGGAUUAGAUACCCACGUAGUCCCUGAGCGGGC
rnacentral:rRNA from 1 species